rnacentral:lncRNA from 1 species
GAAAGCCAGGCCACACCAAACCCAAACAAUACAUUUUAUUUCCAGAUGAAGUAUUGGCCUCAAACUGUAAUGUAGAACUGUAAUUUAGGUAUUUGGUUGACACAUAGAAAGACCUUAAAGACUCUUUUACUUAGAAUAGGUAUGUUACUUGGAACACCCAAUCUCAUUGUUCUGUGUUUUAUUUAGAUGAUGAAGAAAUGUACAUCCAAGGAAAAUCAAACCAAGUAAAGGAGGAAAAACUUUGAGUUCUGCUUAAGGUCUAGGACUUCCUAAGGCUCAUUCCAGCUCCUCCAGAUGAAGGCAUUUUCUAAGCAGGAGACAAUUACAACAGCAAUACUAAACUGAUACACAAAGGAUCCCCGUACUUCAUCAAAAUAUCAAUGUUGUCCAUGACACACAAAGAACCCAGCUGUAGUUUAAUUCAGCAUCACAGUCCCAACAUGUUUUAAAACAUGUUCCAGCUUUUGGUCCCAGGAUUAUUCAACCUAGCUCAUAAAAGAAAACAAUAUUGCAUUUCUAAGUAUUGGCUCCUAGAAUUGGCAAGUUUAGUCAAGAAAAGCUGGAAUGCCGUUAAAACAACACCCUGUCAUCUUUCAAUCAGUCCUUAGCUGAAGUUAAAAUCCCACUCAUUCUGCAUGAUCCAGCCUCUGUAGCAUAGAGUGAGUAGCCCCUUAACAAGAACCAAAAUGGAGGGUACGGAUGAGGCUCAGAUCGUCACCACCUGGAGAAUAGAGACAGUGACUGAGUCACCAGGAAAUCUGUCCCCUGCUCAUCCCAGAAUCCCCGAGCUUUGACUUUUUAAGAGAACAUGUGACAGAUAAUGCCAUCUGAGAAGUCCAGCUUAGGCAACUCAGUCAUCAAUGUGUCCUCGAGAAGAGCAUAUCCCCAAAUUGGAAAAUAAUCCUUCAGGGCAUCUGAACAUAACCACAUUUGGCUUACUUUGUGAAGCAGUUGUCUGAAUAGAAUAAGACUGGCUUGGAACGAGAUUCACAGAGCAACCAAAUAAAGAUGAUUGAGUGAAUGGCUAAAGAAAUAAAUAUGUUCGAAUCUGUACCCAUCUCAUGUCUUUCCUGAUGAUUGCCUCCUUUACUGUAUGUUUUCCACUGAGAUGAAGAUUUUGGUCAUUUCCUCAUUCAUGUUCCUGCUUUUCAAAACCCAAGCAAGAAAGGAAACUUCUACAGUGACUUUCUCAUUAUGAAAUCUUAGCAUUCACUAGUCGGCCAUAAUGGAAAACCAGCCAAAUGGACACAUAUACACUGGUCUGUACCCGCAGAGAAAGAAAUGCAAAUCUCUGUGAUCAGAAAACUAUCCUAUCUUGUACAUUGUUAAAAGUCUGCCUCCAAAAAGUUUACUUCUGGAAUACUGUAAUUGAAUAGAAUCAGGGAUCCUACCUGUGUCCUUCAACUUUCACAUCUUGUCUACUCAAGUAAGGGUUGAAUUUGCAUGACUAUAUCUAAGGUUCGAGGGCUUACCUGUUGGCAGUAGACCCAGUAGUCUAUGAAUGGAAAUGGGCAAACCUGUGACCUCCCAAAACUUUAAUAUGAAAGUUUUGUUUGUGUAUACUCAUGGCAUUAUUCUUUUAAUAAAGAGAUA